AUACGGAGGGUGCAAGCGUUACUCGGAAUCACUGGGCGUAAAGCGCGCGCAGGCGGGCUGAUAAGUUGGAUGUGAAAGCCUACGGCUCAACCGUAGAACUGCAUCCAAAACUGUCAGUCUAGAGUGUGGGAGAGGAAGAUGGAAUUAGUUGUGUAGGGGUAAAAUCCGUAGAGAGAACUAGGAAUACCAAAAGCGAAGGCAAUCUUCUGGAACACUACUGACGCUGAGGCGCGAAGGCGUGGGGAGCAAACAGGAGUAGAAACCCCAGUAGUCC
rnacentral:rRNA from 1 species